CUCACCACCAGAGCGUGCCUACCGAUCGAUUGCCCGCCCAGCGGGGAACGAAACGAGGCAAUAGCGGCCAGUGUUGAUGGUAGACAUCCACUAUCAAGCCUGUACUGUAGAAAACGCAGAACAUCCGACACGGAGCAAGCAGCCGGGUUGAUAUGAACAUCACGGCACCACAAAC